rnacentral:rRNA from 1 species
GACAGAGGAUGCAAGCGUUAUCCGGAAUGAUUGGGCGUAAAGCGUCUGUAGGUGGCUUUUAAGUCCGCCGUCAAAUCCCAGGCUCAACCUGGACAGGCGGUGGAACUACCAAGCUGGAGUACGGUAGGGCAGAGGGAAUUUCCGGUGGAGCGGUGAAAUGCGUAGAGAUCGGAAAGAACACCAACGGCGAAAGCACUCUGCUGGGCCGACACUGACACUGAGAGACGAAAGCUAGGGGAGCGAAUGGG